CCUCUUCCACUGGCCGACCUUCAUCAGCAGUGAGAUGGAUGUCCAUUCACAUGUCUGCAACUUGCUUAUGGCUGAUGGUAGGGGCAGAAGAGCAUAGGAUAUCACCUAACUCUUUGGUGGUCUGCUUGCUGAUCGGAUCCUCACCACUCUGAUUUUAGCAUAUCGUAGCCAGGACUUGAGGGUGUGGGGUCGCUUUUGUCGCCUUAAGAUUUUCUUUAGGGAUCUGAUUGAGUUGUGU
rnacentral:lncRNA from 1 species